GACGAACGCUGGCGGCGUGCUUAACACAUGCAAGUCGAACGGAAAGGCCCUGCUUUUGUGGGGUGCUCGAGUGGCGAACGGGUGAGUAACACGUGAGUAACCUGCCCUUCACUUUGGGAUAACUUCAGGAAACUGGGGCUAAUACCGGAUAGGAGCUCCUGCUGCAUGGUGGGGGUUGGAAAGUUUCGGCGGUUGGGGAUGGACUCGCGGCUUAUCAGCUUGUUGGUGGGGUAGUGGCUUACCAAGGCUUUGACGGGUAGCCGGCCUGAGAGGGUGACCGGCCACACUGGGACUGAGAUAAGGCACAGACUCCUACGGGAGGAAGCAGUGGGGAAUAUUGCACAAUGGGCGGAAGCCUGAUGCAGCAACGCCGCGUGCGGGAUGACGGCCUUCGGGUUGUAAACCGCUUUCGCCUGUGACGAAGCGUGAGUGACGGUAAUGGGUAAAGAAGCACCGGCUAACUACGUG
rnacentral:rRNA from 1 species